GCACCCGUAGCUCAGUUGGAUAGAGCACCAGUUUGCGGAACUGGUGGUCGUGCGUUCGAAUCGCGCCGGGUGCA
rnacentral:tRNA from 1 species